UGUCUCGGGCCUACUUCUCAGUCCUAACUCAAAUUUCGCCUUUUACUAAAAUUUGACGGGUGAAGUGGCACUCAAUGAGAAAUUUAACAAUUUUUUUCAAGCCUGCCGAAAGGUGGGCU
rnacentral:snRNA from 1 species